rnacentral:rRNA from 1 species
AGCAGCCGCGGUAAUUCCAGCUCCAAUAGCGUAUAUUAAAGUUGUUGCAGUUAAAAAGCUCGUAGUUGAAUUUCGGGAUCAAUUUGUUGGUCGUACCUUGGUACGUACUGACAUUAUUGGUUUCUCCCUUCUGAGAAUCCUUGAUGUCAUUAAUUUGGUGUCUUGGGGAAUCAGGACUGUUACCUUGAAAAAAUUGAGUGUUUAAAGCAGGCAUACGCUUGAAUACAUUAGCAUGGAAUAAUGAAAUAGGACGUUCGAUUCUAUUUUGUUGGUUUCUAGGAUCGAUGUAAUGAUUAAUAGGGAUAGUUGGGGGCAUUAGUAUUCAAUUGUCAGAGGUGAAAUUCUUGGAUUUAUUGAAGACUAACUACUGCGAAAGCAUUUGCCAAGGAUGUUUUCAUUAAUCAAGAACGAAAGUUAGGGGAUCGAAGACGAUCAGAUACCGUCGUAGUC